rnacentral:rRNA from 1 species
UACGUAGGGGCUAGCGUUGUCCGGAUUUAUUGGGCGUAAAGAGCGUGUAGGCGGCUUGGCAAGUCUGCUGUGAAACUCGAGGCUCAACCUCGAGCUGUCGGUGGAAACUGCCUGGCUAGAGUCCGGAAGAGGAGAGUGGAAUUCCUGGUGUAGCGGUGAAAUGCGCAGAUAUCAGGAGGAACACCGAUGGCGAAGGCAGGUCUCUGGGCAUUAACUGACGCUGAGGAGCGAAAGCAUGGGGAGCGAACAGG